rnacentral:rRNA from 1 species
AUGGAGUACUGGGAACCCGAUGAGCAGCAUCUCGGUGACCUCGGGGUCGCCGGCAUCGGCCGCGAGGCCCUCCGAGUUCUCCGCGCCGUCCUCCCCAGCUUCGUCUCCCACGUACCCAACAUAUUCGUCUUCCUUGCCCACGUCUUCGGAUGCGUCACGGUCUUCUCCAGCCUCGUCUCCGGCGACCUCUCCAGGCUUCUCCACCUCUUCUUCUCCCCGUCCUUCUUCUACUUCCUCUGCGAUUCCGCCGUCAUGGAAGGGUACGACAUGCUGUUCGUGCUCUCCGUCGCCUCCUUCUACCGCAACAAGGGCGCCGGCCGGGCGGGGCCCAUGGCCAUCCCACGCCUCCUUAGACGCAUCAAUCGCGACCAGCGCCUCCGGCACUGCGCCACCUUCCUGCUGGCUGUCACCGCCUUCGGAGCUUACGCCGCCGUCUUCGGGUCCGCCUGGCGGACGCUCCGCCUGCUCGAUGCUCCGGGCGAGAUCGUCCUGCCGCUGCGACUGCUGGGCGGGGCCGCGUGCCUCGCCGGGGCGGUGUACCUCGCCGUGCUGCAAAGCCUCUCUGGUAGUAAUGCUAAUUAA